CCCAUAAUAGACACCUGCGAUAAGUAUAGAGCUAUCAGGAAUAUUUAUUAUUCAGAACUGGAUAGGCCAAUACUGAGUUGAACAGUCUUUUGCACCAGCAGCUCCACCAGUACUAACAUCGAUUUCUAAGAUAUUAGUCCCAAUCAAUAUUCUUACAUCUUCUGGACGAGAAGCCAAACAGCAAUGUGAUCUGAGAACUAUAGCAUCUGAAUUUGAACACCCAUGUUCGGAAGAAUUAUCUUUCGCCUCGCGAGCUAAGUUAUUCCACGUAACUGAACUUUGCGGUUCGUAAGGAGGACUGUCAUUUGGUAAAAUAGAUGCUACAACGUUUCCAUUAUUCAAAGAUAUUUCCUCAGAACUAUCAUUAUUGACGAUAUUGCAACGUAAAUAAGGAUUAGCAUCGGCAUGCCUCGCCAUUCUAGUCAUUCAAACGAUUACGCCGUUGCCUUUGUAUGAGUUGACUAAAGGGGUUUCGUUUCAGCCUAAUCAUGAUUCAAGCAUGUAUAUAGACAAGCUACAGAAAUUAUUAAUAAUAUUGCAUAUAGUUAUAGUAGAGGCAACAAAUACGAAUCUCUGAGAAUUACGUGACUUUAAAUUAGACGAAAUAUCACUUUUGUACGUAAAAGUAA